GGCUCGAAGGCACGUGUUUUGUCCCUAUUUUUUUUAGUUUAAAGAAAAUUGAACCUUUUUGCUCUUCAAAGGUUAUUGCUUUACAAAGAAAAAGAUCAGCGGAAAACUAUUUACUUGGCGCUGCAGUUCACACUCUGCUAAAGACCCUUGCAAAGCUACAGUGACCCAUAAAAUUUCCAGUGCCAUAAAUUUCUUUGAUCACUAUGACCAGCAAGACUCCAAAAACAGCCACACAACACCGCCGCAGUAAAUCACAACCAUCUACUAUUCUAUGAAAACCACAGAAGAAUUAAUGCGGAUCAGAAGAAAGAAACCCACACGAAGAACUGGAUCCUAUCUACGCUCUGGUUUCGCUACGAAGCGAAUGAGUUUUCCAGCCAUGAGCUACUUAGAGAAGUGCUUCAUGAGCUCCGAAGUUCCUCCCCCACAGUUGUCCCUGACUAUCUCCUUAAGAUCAACCAUGACAACAUUGAUGAAUAUGAUAUGUCCUUAAAUAAUAGUGUUGUGUAUUAAAAGUACUUACCUUUUUUAUUGUUUACAGUCAAUAUUUUUGUGCCAUAAUAUCAAUUGGAAAAUAAACAAAGUAUAAUUUUA